GUGGGGAAUCUUCCGCAAUGGACGAAAGUCUGACGGAGCAACGCCGCGUGAGUGAAGAAGGUUUUCGGAUCGUAAAGCUCUUUCGUUAGGGACGAACGUGCUCUUUGUGAAUAAUGAGGAGUAAUGACGGUACCUAAAUAAGAAGCCACGGCUAACUACGUGCCAGCAGCCGCGGUAAUACGUAGGUGGCAAGCGUUGUCCGGAAUUAUUGGGCGUAAAGCGCGCGCAGGCGGGAUAUCAAGUCUGUCUUAAAAGUGCGAGGCUCAACCUCGUGAGGGGACAGAAACUGGUAUUCUUGAGUGUCGGAGAGGAAAGUGGAAUUCCAUGUGUAGCGGUGAAAUGCGUAGAGAUUUGGAAGAACACCAGUGGCGAAGGCGACUUUCUGGACGAUGUCUGACGCUGAGGCGCGAAAGCUAGGGGAGCGAACGGGAUUAGAUACCCGAGUAGUCC
rnacentral:rRNA from 1 species